UGUAAUGGGGCCGCUUUGUGC
rnacentral:siRNA from 1 species